rnacentral:snRNA from 1 species
GUGCUUGCUCUAUCAGCACAUAUACUAAAAUUGGAACGACACAGAGAUUAGCAUGGCUCCUGCACAAGGAUGACAUGCAAAUUCGUGAAACAUUCCUUAUUUUU